GCCUCUCGGAGAUUUUCGAUUCCUAUUUUUGUUGCCUAUUAAUUUCCCCCCCCACCCCCCAACCCCCCUCCCUCUUUACCGCCUAUUUUACUUCUUUUGUCUGGGAGCUGGCACCUGUCCCAGAGACGGCAUUUUACUGCACAUCCCCUUUUCCCUCCUCAGCAGAGAAAAGGGGGGGUGUGGGGGGGAAGGUCUGCAAGGACGAAACAGCCUGUGCACCCCCUGCCCCCCAGACAUCCCCCCCAUAUUUCCUUUUCAGCCACGGUCCAAUUACAAGGGGUUUGAAGGGAUAUCACACGCCCUAUUUCACACGGCGCAGAUACCUACAGCCAUUAAAAAUAUAUUUCUAGGAAAGAGAAAGGCAGAGAAAGCAAGAGGCUCGUUCCCUGAGCAGCACUGUGCACUGGGACUCCGGGGAGGAAAAUCACCAGCAAAAGCCCUCAUCCUCAGAGCGCACAAACCUGCAAAGCCCUUUGCUCAGGCAAAGGAAUCCAUUUCCUUAACAGAGGGAAAAGGGAGUGAGGGAAAGGGAUGAGCAGAGGGGCGAGCCCUCGGCGCUGUGCCCUCUGCAUUGGGAUGCACAGCGCAGCAGAGGCGAGAACCAGCCCCGCUCGGGAACGCUGGGAGAGGAGAGGAGGGCUCAGGCAAGCAGAAGAAAAAGAAGAUCCUAUUUGCAGCAUUUUUAAAAGUUCUGCUCUGGCAAAGGCCGUCUGAAGGGGAGGCCCUUGCAGCAAGAAUGCGAGCAGCAGCCGCCUUUCCAGAGUCCAGCCUCCUUCUUGUGAGCGACUGGAGCAGUCUGGCGGAGGAGGAGGAGGAGGAGGAGGAGGACGACGUGAGCCAGCGAAACGCAGCGGGCUGGAGCUGAUGAUGAAAGCGGCACGGCCCUGCGCGGACAGGCUCCUUUCCAUCCCCCGCAGCCACGGGCACAGGGACACGCACCGGGCCCGGCUCUGCUCCAGCCCCGCCGGGUACCCCCGCGGGCCGGGGGCUGCGAUGGGGACGGCGCCGCAGGGAGGGGACCCGGCAGCGAUGGGAGGAGAGGCGCUGCGCUGGAAUGUAAAUGCACCCACGCUAUGGCAAUAUGCUUGACAGGGCAGUGCGGCUAAUGAAGCUUUUAAUUGGGGGAGGUGGGGGUGUGUGUGGUGUGUGUGGGGGGGGUGGUUUCUACGGAAAUAUCUCCCGGGAUUAAAUGGAGAGAAGAGGCUCCUUUCUGCAGUCACACACCUACACCGCUCUGCGUAACACAGCAGUCCGCAAGGACCACGAACUACAGCACACACACACACACACACACACACGCACACAAAACCAACCCCAACCUACCGAGCUGAAAAUGGCUAUUUGAAAAAGUAAAUACUGUAUGUGACAGAAAAAACUUUGCGAUUUGGUUUUCUCAUGCCCUUACUUCCAAACCAGCUGCACAGCCAAGCUCAGGCUGCUUGGCCCUUAUAACUCUCUUGGCACCGAGUCAAAAGCUGAUAAGCAUUUGGGCGAGACAGCUCAACUGCUGUGCUGGAAGAAAAACAGCUGCCAUGAUUGCUGUUUGAUUGAGAGCGCUCGCACACACUCACAAAAAACAUACCAGGCUGCAAGGACGGGCCACAAAUGCCUGAGGAUUCAGCUUCAGAAGAUCAACAUACAUUUCCUUAAAAAAAAAAUAAAAAAAUUAUAUAGUUUUGCCUCCAAACACCCUCCCCUUCUUUAAAGAAAACGUGCUGCGUCGACUUGCUUUUCUUCUUCCCAUCCCCCUCCAUAACCUCAAGCAAACUCAAGGAAUUGUGCCAAAAGUCCCGUUGCUAGUUACCAAGUGCAUUUUUUUAAACGUCCCUUUGAUACUUCUUUCCCUCCUGCUUGCCAUGGAAUAUGCAAGUAAGAUAAUCUUUCAAUUACUUACAAGAAGUAAUUAAAAAAGAACUUCUAGCUCAGCGUUCCUUUCCCUCUUUCUCUCUUAAGGGGCAAGAGGAGGGAAGCGAGGGGGAGAAGGAUGUUUUUUCUCUUUGCCGAGUCCAACAUUUGGCUUUUUCCAUUUGUGGCAGAUCACUGUAACGCUAUUGUAAAACAACUUCCUGCCCCUUUUGGCUCACGUUCCAGAAGCUGCUAGGCUAAGUUCAUAGCACAAACUUUUUUCCCCCUUGCCGAAGAAGAUAGACAAAAAAAAAUUCCUGCAAAUUAUUUCCCCCCUUUUCUGGCUCAUGGACUCACAAGGUGAAUUUAUUGCAGCUCUUUAAGAAUAUUACACAAGAGACGUCGGUAUCCCAGCUGGAUAAUUCAUAAGAUGAAAAGCAAUAAUUUCAACAAAAUCACAUACUCUGUCCCUUCUCUACGUGGGUGCAGCAUGGGACACCAGGAUACAGCAGCAAGCUCCGCCUCAGUCUGGCCCUUCCUCCAACCUCUGCUAACCUAAAAACCAGCGCCAGCCUGGCAGCGGGCCAGGGAUUCAAAAGUAAACAUUAUCCUCCUGCCAUUUUUCAGUGCUGUUUAUCAUAUCCUGAUCCCCUUAUUUUUUUUUUUUUACCCCCCCCUCCUCCUACCGCCCCCCUUUCGCCAUUGCUGAAAUCCCCGUCUCUGCUCCCGGUCUGUUUGGCUCCGCGGCGACAUCCAGCCCUGGGAGUCCCGCUCCGAUGCGGAGCCGCAGGACGCGGAGCGAGCGCGGGGUGCGGCCGUGCCCGCGCCAGGCGGCCUUCCCCCGGGGUGGGAUGGGAUUCGAUGGGAUGGGUGGGAUAGGAUGGGAUGGGGUGGGACGGCCGCCCGCCACCCGCUCCCCGCACCAUGCACUCGCCUCUCUCAGCGCUGCAGCUGCCGGCACAAACGCGGCUUUUGCCUCCGCGGCUUUUCCCGUUUUCUUAUUUAAUUGUGAGGGGAGUGCUUAAAGACCAGAGCCAUCCAGGAGCGGCCGUGAGGGCGCUGCACCUGACUCUUUGUUAUCCCUCAUCGCUCAUCCCCGCUCCCUUCCGCUCCGCGCUUCCUCCUCCCACCUUGCGCUGCUCCUCGUUUACCGAGGCUCCGUAAAAAAAAAAAAAAAAACCAAAAAAAACCAAAACAACAACAAAAAAAAACCAGCCUGACUGACUGAAGUAGCUGCUGCCCGUCAGGGGGUUUUUACCUAGUCGUGCACUGCAUGGUGUGGAUAGCGGGCAUAGCGGCAGGAGGAGGAAAGGAGAU